GUUGUAUAGUCAAGUAAUUAAGUGCAUGUGGUGGAUGCCUUGGCAGUCAGAGGCGAUGAAAGACGUGAUAGCCUGCGAAAAGCUCCGGGGAGGCGGCAAAUAUCCUUUGAUCCGGAGAUGUCUGAAUGGGGGAACCCACCUACUUUAAGGUAGGUAUUGCAACAUGAAUACAUAGUGUUGCAAGGCGAACGAGGGGAAGUGAAACAUCUCAGUACCCUUAGGAAAAGAAAUCAAUUGAGAUUCCCUCAGUAGCGGCGAGCGAACGGGGAUCAGCCCAUUAAGUUAUGUGUGUUUUAGUGGAACGCUCUGGGAAGUGCGAACGUAGAGGGUGAUAUUCCCGUACACGAAAGGGCACACAUAAUGAUGACGAGUAGGGCGAGGCACGUGAAACCUUGUCUGAAUAUGGGGGGACCAUCCUCCAAGGCUAAAUACUCCUGACUGACCGAUAGUGAACCAGUACCGUGAGGGAAAGGCGAAAAGAACCCCUGUGAGGGGAGUGAAAUAGAUCCUGAAACCGCAUGCAUACAAGCAGUGGGAGCACCUUCGUGGUGUGACUGCGUACCUUUUGUAUAAUGGGUCAGCGACUUAUAUUCAGUAGCAAGGUUAACCGUAUAGGGGAGCCGUAGAGAAAUCGAGUCUUAAUAGGGCGUUUAGUUGCUGGGUAUAGACCCGAAACCAGGCGAUCUAUCCAUGAGCAGGUUGAAGGUUGGGUAACACUAACUGGAGGACCGAACCCACUGUCGUUGAAAAGCCAGGGGAUGACUUGUGGAUAGGGGUGAAAGGCUAAUCAAGCCUGGUGAUAGCUGGUUCUCCCCGAAAGCUAUUUAGGUAGCGCCUCGGACGAAUACCAUAGGGGGUAGAGCACUGUUUCGGCUAGGGGGUCAUCCCGACUUACCAAACCGAUGCAAACUCCGAAUACCUAUGAGUACUAUCCGGGAGACAGACUGCGGGUGCUAACGUCCGUAGUCAAGAGGAAAACAAUCCAGACCGCCAGCUAAGGCCCCAAAAUCAUAGUUAAGUGGGAAACGAUGUGGGAAGGCAUAGACAGCUAGGAGGUUGGCUUANNNNNNNNNNNNNNNNNNNNNNGAAGCAGCCACCCUUUAAAGAAAGCGUAAUAGCUCACUAGUCGAGUCGGCCUGCGCGGAAGAUGUAACGGGGCUAAAACUAUGUGCCGAAGCUGCGGAUUUGACAUUAGUCAAGUGGUAGGGGAGCGUUCUGUAAGCCGAUGAAGGUGUAUUGAGAAGUNNNNNAUGCUGGAGGUAUCAGAAGUGCGAAUGCUGACGUGAGUAACGACAAAACGGGUGAAAAACCCGUUCGCCGAAAGACCAAGGGUUCCAGUCCAACGUUAAUCGGGGCUGGGUGAGUCGACCCCUAAGGCGAGGCCGAAAGGCGUAGUCGAUGGGAAAAUGGUUAAUAUUCCAUUACUUCUGUGUAAUGCGAUGAGAGGACGGAGAAGGCUAAAUCAGCCUGGCGUUGGUUGUCCAGGUGAAAGGAUGUAGGCAUGUAUCUUAGGCAAAUCCGGGGUACUCUAUGCUGAGAUCUGAUAGCAAGCUGUACUUGUACAGCGAAGUGGUUGAUGCCAUGCUUCCAGGAAAAGUCUCUAAGCUUCAGUUACACAGGAAUCGUACCCGAAACCGACACAGGUGGUCAGGUCGAGUAGACCAAGGCGCUUGAGAGAACUCUGCUGAAGGAACUAGGCAAAAUGGUACCGUAACUUCGGGAGAAGGUACGCUGUUGUUGGUGAUGGAACUCGCUUCCUGAGCUGACGACAGCCGCAGAAACCAGGCCGCUGCAACUGUUUAUUAAAAACAUAGCACUCUGCAAACACGAAAGUGGACGUAUAGGGUGUGAUGCCUGCCCGGUGCUGGAAGGUUAAUUGAUGGGGUUAGCGUAAGCGAAGCUCUUGAUCGAAGCCCCAGUAAACGGCGGCCGUAACUAUAACGGUCCUAAGGUAGCGAAAUUCCUUGUCGGGUAAGUUCCGACCUGCACGAAUGGCAUAAUGAUGGCGGCGCUGUCUCCAGCAGAGGCUCAGUGAAAUCGAAAUCGCUGUGAAGAUGCAGUGUACCCGCGGCUAGACGGAAAGACCCCGUGAACCUUUACUGCAGCUUGACACUGAACUUUGACCUUACUUGUGUAGGAUAGGUGGGAGGCUUUGAAGCUGGAACGCUAGUUCCAGUGGAGCCGUCCUUGAAAUACCACCCUGGUAAUGUUGAGGUUCUAACUCUGUCCCGUGAUCCGGGACGAGGACCGUGUCUGGUGGGUAGUUUGACUGGGGCGGUCUCCUCCUAAAGAGUAACGGAGGAGUACGAAGGUGCGCUCAGCGUGGUCGGAAAUCACGCGUAGAGUAUAAAGGCAAAAGCGCGCUUAACUGCGAGACCCACAAGUCGAGCAGGUACGAAAGUAGGUCUUAGUGAUCCGGUGGUUCUGUAUGGAAGGGCCAUCGCUCAACGGAUAAAAGGUACUCUGGGGAUAACAGGCUGAUACCGCCCAAGAGUUCAUAUCGACGGCGGUGUUUGGCACCUCGAUGUCGGCUCAUCUCAUCCUGGGGCUGAAGCAGGUCCCAAGGGUAUGGCUGUUCGCCAUUUAAAGAGGUACGCGAGCUGGGUUUAGAACGUCGUGAGACAGUUCGGUCCCUAUCUACCGUGGGCGCUGGAAAUUUGAGAGGAUCUGCUCCUAGUACGAGAGGACCAGAGUGGACGAACCUCUGGUGUACCGGUUGUGACGCCAGUCGCAUCGCCGGGUAGCUAUGUUCGGAAGGGAUAACCGCUGAAAGCAUCUAAGCGGGAAGCCUACCUCAAGAUAAGAUUUCCCUAGGACUUUAUGUCCUCUAAAGAGCCGUUCGAGACUAGGACGUUGAUAGGUUGGAUGUGGAAGCAUAGUGAUAUGUGAAGCUGACCAAUACUAAUUGCUCGUGAGGCUUGACUAUACAACACCCAAGCAGUUG
rnacentral:rRNA from 1 species